rnacentral:lncRNA from 1 species
AAGUCAACAUAACCUCUCUCUCUCAUCUGAUAAUUCGAUUAGAAAUUUCUUAUAGAAACUGAAUUUGAAUCAGUUUCACCCUAAUCAAAUCUUCUGCAGUCUCCAACCCACAAUCUCUCUCAAACCGCCUAUCUCUCUCUCAUCAAAUCACCUCUCUUUCUCUCAUCAAAUCUCUCUCAAAUCACCUCUCUCUCUCUCUCUCACUCAUCAAAUCUCUCUCAACUCACCUCUCUCUCUCUCAUCAAAUCUCUCUCAAACGACCUCUCUCUCUCUCAUCAGAAAAUGAGGACGAUUUUAUUACAUUAGGAAGACUGAUUGGCAU